CAGUAGCCGCGGUAAUACGUAGGGCGCAAGCGUUGUCCGGAAUUAUUGGGCGUAAAGAGCUCGUAGGCGGUCUGUCGCGUCUGGUGUGAAAUCCCGAGGCUCAACCUCGGGCUUGCAUCGGGUACGGGCAGACUAGAGUGCGGUAGGGGAGACUGGAAUUCCUGGUGUAGCGGUGGAAUGCGCAGAUAUCAGGAGGAACACCGAUGGCGAAGGCAGGUCUCUGGGCCGCAACUGACGCUGAGGUACGAAAGCAUGGGGAGCAAACAGGAUUAGAUACCCCAGUAGUCCCUGUCUCUUAUAC
rnacentral:rRNA from 1 species